GUGGAAGGGGCAUGCAGAGGAGCGGCCAUGGCCCAUGGGAGCUUUGCUUGCCUUGCCUCUCGCUCUCUCCUGUGCCUGCCUCUUCCAUU
rnacentral:pre_miRNA from 1 species